CAGAAAUGGGGCUGGGAGUGAGGAGGGGAGGAACCACAGUACUGAAGCUUCCUUCCAUGAGGUCAGGGCCAGGUUCAAACCUGGGCUGCACCACAGCAGAGCAGUGCACUGGACAAGUGAGGACAGAGAAAUGUGAGAAGGAGAGAGAAAUACAGACAUCUGCAGCCCUUCUUCACCAUGCUCAUGAAACUUCCUUCUCCCCUGCAGCCAAUGCCAAGCCUCAGAUCUGUUCUCCUUUGAUACACUUUCCUGUUGAAACCUGCCAAGACUGGUGAACAUGGUGUGUCUGCUCUGGAGCUGAGGGCAGCUCUGCAGCAGAAUGUGGGGGGGGGGGGGGGUGGUGGGGGGGGGGGAGAGAAUUCUAGAUUUCCUGCUUUGGCUUUAGUCCCUAAAGACUAUAACAGACUUUUAAAGUCAUUCUUAUCAUGGUCAGUGCCUCAAGUUUUUCAUCUGUCUAAGGGGUGCAAUUGCUCAGCCCCUUCUGAUGAUCCUGAGAUCCAGAAGUUAGAACUAGAAUCACUUUUAUUGGUGAUUUAAUAUUGAUUUACAAAAUUACAAGAUAACACGUACAAUUCCACACUGUUCCCACCACCAGAGUUCUGGAUCCCCAAUCUCUCCACUGUAAGCUACAGCAGUUCUCCUAAGGUUACAGAUAUGGGUUAACUAUUAUUUCUACAGCCAUCUGCCUAUAUUUGUAUAUAUUUGCCCUUUUUUGGGGGGGGUCUCAUCUCCUUUCCAAGUCAUACAUACACCUAUUAUUACAUUCAAAUGUCCCUCCCUGCUUCCUCCUCUCUCUCCAGUUUCUGAUGGAGUUGGGGUUCAGAGCCCUCUGAUCAUCUUCCCCCUAUCAUUUCUCCCCCACUAAGAGUAUGGAUCAAAAUUGUUUUGGGGGUGUAGAAGGUGGAAGGUCUGGCUUCUGUAAUCGAUUCUCUGCUGGACAUGGAUGUUGGCAGGUGGAUCCACACCCCCAGCCUGUUUCUAUGUUUCCCUAGUGGGGCAGGGCUCUGGAGAGGUGGGGUACAGUGGUGAGGUUGUCUUCCCAGGAAAUAAGACAGGUCUUUGUCAUACCUUGUCUAUUCCCACCCCACGUCCCCACCUUCCAUACUCCUAACCAUCUGAAAGACAAAAGCCACAUAAAUAAAACAGGUCCAGCAAGAAGUGACUGCAGCAAAUGACACAUGUUGGCAGGAUUCCCAACCUAACCCUGAAAACUGAGAGAAUCUACGUGACAAAGGAGGGCAGGGGACACACCAGCAGAAGUGUGCACUGAAGUCCAUAGUCAACACGGUCAGGAAGAUUUACUACGUACCUACAGUGUACACAGCGUGACACUGGACAUUUCAAUCCAAUGGGCCACCGUGCUGGUGACACAUGCACGGUUACUGAUACUUCCUAGCUGACUAAGCUGGCUGGGUGA